rnacentral:rRNA from 1 species
CACGUAGGGCGCAAGCGUUGUCCGGAAUUAUUGGGCGUAAAGAGCUCGUAGGCGGUCUGUUACGUCUGCUGUGAAAACCCGGGGCUUAACCCUGGGCUUGCAGUGGAUACGGGCAGACUAGAGGCAGGUAGGGGAGAAUGGAAUUCCCGGUGUAGCGGUGAAAUGCGCAGAUAUCGGGGGGAACACCGGUGGCGAAGGCGGUUCUCUGGGCCUGACCUGACGCUGAGGAGCGAAAGCGUGGGGAGCAAACGGG